UGGGGAAUAUUGGGCAAUGGGCGAAAGCCUGACCCAGCAACGCCGCGUGAAGGAAGAAGGUUUUCGGAUUGUAAACUUCUGUCCUCAGGGAAGAAGGAAGUGACGGUACCUGAGGAGGAAGCCCCGGCUAACUACGUGCCAGCAGCCGCGGUAAUACGUAGGGGGCGAGCGUUGUCCGGAAUGACUGGGCGUAAAGGGCGCGUAGACGGCUAUAUAAGUCUGGAGUGAAAGUCCUGCUUUCAAGGUGGGAAUUGCUUUGGAGACUGUAUGGCUUGAGUGCGGAAGAGGUAAGUGGAAUUCCCAGUGUAGCGGUGAAAUGCGUAGAGAUUGGGAAGAACACCAGUGGCGAAGGCGACUUACUGGGCCGUAACUGACGUUGAUGCGCGAAAGCGUGGGGAGCGAACAG
rnacentral:rRNA from 1 species